rnacentral:rRNA from 1 species
UACGUAGGGUGCGAGCGUUAAUCGGAAUUACUGGGCGUAAAGCGUGCGCAGGCGGUGAUGUAAGACAGGUGUGAAAUCCCCGGGCUUAACCUGGGAACUGCAUUUGUGACUGCAUCGCUGGAGUGCGGCAGAGGGGGGAUGGAAUUCCGCGUGUAGCAGUGAAAUGCGUAGAUAUGCGGAGGAACACCGAUGGCGAAGGCAAUCCCCUGGGCCUGCACUGACGCUCAUGCACAAAGCGUGGGGGAGCAAACAGG